rnacentral:tRNA from 2 species
GCGCCCGUAGCUCAGUCGGAUAGAGCACCAGAUUCCUAAUUUGGGGGUCGCAAGUUCGAAUCUUGCCGGGCGCGCCA